CCGACCUUAGCUCAGUUGGUAGAGCGGGGGACUGUAGAUCCUUAGGUCGCUGGUUCGAAUCCGACAGGUCGGA